rnacentral:rRNA from 1 species
AGCAGCCGCGGUAAUUCCAGCUCCAAUAGCGUAUAUUAAAGUUGUUGCAGUUAAAAAGCUCGUAGUUGAAUUUCGGGGUCAGUAGGUUGGUCGUGCCACUGGUAUGUACUGGCCUCACUGAUUCCUCCUUCUUGUAGAACCGUAAUGCCAUUAAUUUGGUGUUGCGGGGAAACAGGACUGUUACUUUGAAAAAAUUAGAGUGUUUAAAGCAGGCUAACGCUUGAAUACAUUAGCAUGGAAUAAUGAAAUAGGACGUUCGAUCCUAUUUUGUUGGUUUCUAGGAUUGACGUAAUGAUUAAUAGGGAUAGUUGGGGGCAUUAGUAUUCAAUUGUCAGAGGUGAAAUUCUUGGAUUUAUUGAAGACUAACUACUGCGAAAGCAUUUGCCAAGGAUGUUUUCAUUAAUCAAGAACGAAAGUUAGGGGAUCGAAGACGAUCAGAUACCGUCGUAGUCUUAACCAUAAACUAUGCCGACUAGGGAUCGGAUGAUGUAAUUUUUUAAUGUACUCAUUCGGCGCCUUA